UACGUAGGUGGCAAGCGUUGUCCGGAUUUACUGGGUGUAAAGGGCGUGCAGCCGGAGAGACAAGUCAGAUGUGAAAUCCACGGGCUCAACUCGUGAACUGCAUUUGAAACUGUUUCCCUUGAGUGUCGGAGAGGUAAUCGGAAUUCCUUGUGUAGCGGUGAAAUGCGUAGACAUAAGGAAGAACACCAGUGGCGAAGGCGGAUUACUGGACGAUAACUGACGGUGAGGCGCGAAAGCGUGGGGAGCAAACAGG
rnacentral:rRNA from 1 species